GUCAGUGUUUGCUCGCACCAGUUUUAAUUUACUUUUUUAUAGUUAAAUAAGCUGAUCAAAUAUAAUUAGAUUCAAUAGAAAUUCGCGAAUUAGAGUCAUACUUGGAUUAAAGCAUCAUCAUUCUUCAUUAUCUUGGGGCAGGAUGCUCAUCGUGCAAAGGACUGACAAGGGCUUCGUUCAAAUGAAAGAAGAAUCAUCAUCACGGGGCAGGAUGCUCAUCGUGCAAGACUCAAUGAAGACUUUAAAACGUCAUUGCGAUCGUGCGCGAAGCAAUGGAUAAAUCGAGUGUUGUAUCGCUAAAAUAAAAAGUAAAAAGUCGCGAAGUAGAAGCAGUGUGUUUGUUCGUUCGUGUUUCGCGAUUUAAACUUGUGUGUGUUCUUGCCUCGACUGCGUGCAAUGCAGUCAUUAGAAUCAGUGUUUGUUCUCGAAGUUUUUUCACAGUCGCACAUGAUUGUAUUUAUAAAAGACAGUAGAAUAUCGCGCAUUAACUUCAGUGAACGUUCGUUA